rnacentral:rRNA from 1 species
AAUUUUAAGGUCAAGCUACAAAGGGCGCAUGGUGAAUGCCUUGGCACUAGGAGCCGAAGAAGGACGCGAUAAGCUGCGAUAAGCCUUGGGUAGCCGCAAAUAG